GACGUAGGGCGCAAGCGUUGUCCGGAAUUAUUGGGCGUAAAGGGCUCGUAGGCGGUUUGUCGCGUCGGGAGUGAAAACACCGGGCUUAACUCGGUGCUGGCUUUCGAUACGGGCAGACUAGAGGUAUUCAGGGGAGAACGGAAUUCCUGGUGUAGCGGUGAAAUGCGCAGAUAUCAGGAGGAACACCGGUGGCGAAGGCGGUUCUCUGGGAAUGUCCUGACGCUGAGGAGCGAAAGUGUGGGGAGCGAACAGG
rnacentral:rRNA from 1 species